rnacentral:rRNA from 1 species
UACAGAGGUCCCAAGCGUUGUUCGGAUUCACUGGGCGUAAAGGGUGCGUAGGCGGUCGGGUAAGUCUGAUGUGAAAUCUCACAGCUUAACUGUGAAACUGCAUUGGAUACUAUUCGGCUUGAGAGUUGGAGGGGGACUGGAAUUCUUGGUGUAGCAGUGAAAUGCGUAGAUAUCAAGAGGAACACCAGUGGCGAAGGCGGUUGCCUGGGGCUUUGCUGACGCUGAUGCGCGAAAGCGUGGGGAGCGAUCCGG